GCCAGUGUGGUGUAGUGGUUUGAGUGUUGGACUAUGACUCUGGAAACCAGGGUUUGAAUCCCUGCUCAGCCA
rnacentral:tRNA from 1 species